CUCCGGUGGUGAAGCGAAUCGUAGGAGUUGGAGCAGGAGGAAGGCGCGGCGCCGACAGUGCCGGAGGAAGUCGUAGAGAGGCGCUCGUUGAAGCUGAGGUUUAAGCUGGACCGAGCAAGGCUGGAACGAGCACUGGAGGAAGCGAAAGUCCGGUCAGUGACGGUAGAUGUGAAGCUGAAAUCGAGAUCCGUGUCGCCGGGGAAACUAUCGUGAUCGUAGUAAUCUUGAGCU
rnacentral:lncRNA from 1 species